CCUAGGGGAGGCAGCAGUGGGGAAGAUUGCACAAUGGGGGAAACCCUGAUGCAGCGACGCCGCGUGAGAGAAGAAGUAUUUCGGUAGGUAAAGCUCUAUCAGCAGGGAAGAAAAUGACGGUACCUGAGUAAGAAGCUCCGGCUAAAUACGUGACAGCAGCCGCGGUAAGACGUAUGGAGCAAGCGUUAUCCGGAUUUACUGGGCGUAAAGGGAGCGUAGGCGGCCUGCCAAGUCUGAUGUGAAAUACCGGGGCUCAACCCCGGGGCUGCAUUGGAAAGUGGCAGGCUGGAGGGCCGGAGAGGCCGGCCGAAUUCCUCUUGUAGCGGUGAACUGCGUAGCUCUUCGGCUGCAC
rnacentral:rRNA from 1 species